UACGUAGGGGGCUAGCGUUGUCCGGAUUUAUUGGGCGUAAAGAGCUCGUAGGUGGUUCGGUAAGCCAGAUGUGAAAUCCCCGGGCUUAACCUGGGAAUGGCAUUUGGGACUGCAAGGCUCGAGUGCGGCAGAGGAGACUGGAAUUCCUGGUGUAGCAGUGAAAUGCGUAGAUAUCAGGAGGAACACCCGUAGCGAAGGCGGCACUCUGGGCCGAUACUGACACUGAGGAGCGAAAGCGUGGGGAGCGAACAGG
rnacentral:rRNA from 1 species